GAUUGUGGCCACCUGCUGCAUUGUCGAGUAGCUACGUUCGGAAUAGAUAAGUGCUGAAAGCAUAUUAAGCACGAAACUAACUUCAAGAUUAGAUUUCCCUAUGAGGACACAGAAAGACUAUCUGUUUGAUAGGCGCAAGGUGGAAGUACAGCAAUGUAUGGAGCUAAAGCGUACUAAUAGUCCCAUCGCCUUUUUAUG
rnacentral:rRNA from 1 species